GGGAAGGUGGCUCAGUGGUAGAGUGCUUGCCUUGCAUGCAUGAGGCCCUAGGUUCAAUUCCUCAGCAUCACA
rnacentral:tRNA from 1 species